UAUCUACUUCAUAGUUGUGUUACGUCGCCACGUGAUCAAAUAAUCCGGUAUUAUUAAGAUACUUUAUCAUGGAGCAGGCAGCAAAAAAAUUGAGAACAGAAGAACAAGCACAGGAAGGCACACCGCCGAACCAUUCGUUAUCUCCAUUUAAUUUCCCUGAUUUAACCAUCAAAAUUGGUAAUGAAAAGCUUUAUAUUAACAAAUACCAUUUAAUGGAAGUGUCACCAGUUUUCCUAAAAAUGCUAACCGGAGACUUUAAAGAGAAAGACGCCAGUGAAAUUGAACUUCCAGAUGAAAACCCAACAACAUUUGCUCUUUUUCUACGACACACAUUGCCUGGUUUUGAAUUGCUUAAACUAACAGAAAAUGAAGCUCAUCUUAUUUUACCAUUGGCACACAAGUACCUCAUGAACACAUUAGUGUCAAAAAUCGACCAGAGUUUGUCAGUCUAUGUGAAGGAAAAUAAAUAUCUAGAGAAUUCACAUAGCAAACUUGCUACUGAGAAAUUAAUGGAUGAUAUUUUGAAAGCUGAACUCUUCAAUUUACCAAAUUUUUUAACAGAAUGCUUAAAGAAUGCGUAUAAAUUGUCGUAUAAGGUGUGUAUAAAAAGCCCGAAGUUUCAUCGUAUUUCAAGCGAUACAAAAUCAAAAUUGUUAUUGAUGAGAUGUGAAGAGUUAGAAUUAGGAAUUGAAAAAUGUUUAAGAGUUUUAGGGAGAACGGAUUUAUAUGGUCGAUGUAAAAGUUGUGAUGAUAGAAAAAGGGUGGAAGAAGCAAGAAGCAUACUGAAUUCCAACGAGUUAAAUAAGUCCAGAUCGUUAGACUUAUGACGAUAUAAUGUAUUAACAUACUCUCGAGUUCAAAGAAAAUGUUUUCCAGAAUUCAUAAUGGACAUUUCUGUUUAAUAGGUAUACCUUAUAAUUAUUUGUUUUGUUUUCUAUAUGUUGUGUUUUGUUUUGUACUGUUGUUUGUCUUUUCGUCUUUUUGUUCACCAUGACGUUAUGAGUUUAUUUUUGACUCAUGAGUUUGAAAGUGACUGUUGUAAGCCUUUUUUUUUAAGUCAAAAUUUAUUGAAUUACUCAUGUUUUUAUAUUAUUACAGAACUUUAAUUGGACAAA